rnacentral:rRNA from 1 species
CCUACGGGCGGCAGCAGUGGGGAAUAUUGGACAAUGGGGGCAACCCUGAUCCAGCCAUGCCGCGUGUGUGAAGAAGGCCCUCGGGUUGUAAAGCACUUUCAGUGAGGAAGAACGCCUGGUGGUUAAUACCCAUCAGGAAAGACAUCACUCACAGAAGAAGCACCGGCUAACUCCGUGCCAGCAGCCGCGGUAAUACGGAGGGUGCGAGCGUUAAUCGGAAUUACUGGGCGUAAAGCGCGCGUAGGUGGCUUGAUAAGCCGGUUGUGAAAGCCCCGGGCUCAACCUGGGAACGGCAUCCGGAACUGUCAAGCUAGAGUGCAGGAGAGGAAGGUAGAAUUCCCGGUGUAGCGGUGAAAUGCGUAGAGAUCGGGAGGAAUACCAGUGGCGAAGGCGGCCUUCUGGACUGACACUAACACUGAGGUGCGAAAGCGUGGGUAGCAAACAGGAUUAGAUACCCAGUAGUC